UGGACGCUCAGUGCUUCUCGUUCUCUUUCCCUGUGCAGCACGUGGGUGUUUGCUCCUCUUCAGACAUAGAGGACAGAUCAGCUCAAUCAAAGCGUGUUCAUUAUGAAUUACAAGCAAAGAUCCGAUCGCAGCGCAUCCAGACCACCAUGAUAAAUGCUGGAUUCAAUGUGACUUGGAACAAUGUAACUUGAACUUCUGCUGGAUGCUUUACUGCGUGAUUAUUACGCCCAGUUCGCAAAAAUGGUGAACGUGUGCAUCUAUAAGCCGAUUCAGCGCUAAUCAGAUGGAGCUGAAACAACCAUGAGGCGUCCUGAUUCACCUGGAUACAGAGCUAAACGCUCCACGGUGACUGAUGAAUGCUGGAGAUUGAUGUCAGACCGUGAAACCUCUUUUUACAAUGUUUAUUAUCAAAUAAAGUCUAUCAAAAUGA